ACCAAAAUGAAAUACCUUGGAAUAUAUUUUAGCAGUCAUACUUGGCACUGUCAUUGGAUGUGCAAUCUGGCAGCUUCAGCCAUCUGAUGAUGUCAUAAUGUGGGUUGGCCUACCCGGCGAAUUGUUUCUAAAUAUGUUACAUUUGUUGGUUGUACCUAUAGUUAUAACAAGCGGGAUUAGAGGGGCAUCUACAAUGGGGCUAAGAGCUGAUGGCAAAAUCAUAGCAGUAGCUCUUGCAUAUAGUAUAAUGACCAUGACCAUAUGUAGUUGUAUUGGGCUGCUACUAGGGGUCGCUGUUAGACCAGGAGAGGGGGUCAGGCUGACAGAUGGAGCACAUUCAGCCUCUUGCUACAGAUUAACAGAUGUUUUUGCUGAUUUCAUAAGGAAAUUAAUUCCAAGGAAUUUACUACAGGUGACUGAGGAAACAAGAGGGAUGUCAUGUAUUGAAUAUCAAAGAACGAAUAUGUCAAACACGACUGACGUAGCGAACUAUACGACAUAUGGAGAUGAGAUGAAUAUCUUAGGCAUUUAUGCAGUCAGUAUAGCAUUUGGAAUAGCAGCCCAUUUAACAGGCUCAAGGGGAAAACCAGCACUGGUAUUUCUACAAGCAGUUCAAUCUAUUGUACUGAAGCUCAUAAAAGGAGUGUUCUACUAUGCUCCUGUAGGAGUCACAAGUCUGAUUGCCAAGGCAAUACUAAAAGUACCAGCCUACGAAAUGAACCACGCCUUUACAACAUUAGGAUAUUUCACCCUUUCCACAACGAUUGGCCAGCUGUUCCAUCAAUUGGUUGUACUCCCAGCGAUAUAUUUCAUAGUUUGCCGCAUGAGAAAGAAUCCGUAUACGUUUAUGUGGAAGUUGUGUCCAGCCUUAGUAACAGGAUUUAUAUCAGGCACAAGUGUGCCAGCCCUUCCGUGUCUCUACUUAUGCACAAAGACAAAAGUUAACCCCCACAUUAGUAGUUUAGUAAUCCCACUAUCAGUUCCAUUAAAGAAAGAUGGCUCUGCUUUAUUUAUCAGCCUCAGUCUGGUUUUCAUCGCACAAAUGGCAGAAAUGAAGCUAACGGCUACUCAGAUUAUAACAAUAGGGGGUCUAUCAAUAGUCCUUGGAUUUACUACUCAGGACAUCCCAAGUGGCAGCAUCCUUACAAUAUCACUAAUAGGUGGCGUGACUGGUAUUCCUGUCUCUAAUGAUUCUCUAGGAUUAAUAAUAGGCCUUGAAUGGUUAAAUGAUAGACUACGAACCAGCACAAAUGUACAGAGUCAUGCCUUUUCUUGUGUGUUUGUGGAAAAAACAUGUAGAAAAGAGUUGCAAAGAAUCGCAAGGGCUAAUAAUCCCAGUCUCCCUACAGACAUGUCACUUCAUAUAGACAUUUAAAACAAUUAUACUUCAAUCAAACAGUUUCAUUCAACAACGAAGAAACACUCCGCCUGGAGGCAAAUAUCAGGUGGUGAGGCAAAUAUCAGGUGGUGAGGCAAAUAUAAGGUGGUGAGGCAAAUAUAAGUUGAUGAGACGAAUAUAAGUUGGUGUGAUGAAUAUAAGUUGAUGAGACGAAUACAAGUCAGAGAGGACAUCAUCCUCCUAUAUGGAACAUGAUUUUCCCAGUUUCAGAUGAAAAAAUGUAGGAAACAAUAUCUUCUAAAAAAUGGUGAUCAUUUAGAUCAUCUGUCUUUUAGAUCUAGCAGUUAUGCAAUACAGUAUAGCAUUUCUCCCAGGAUUUUAUCCUUAUGUGCUGAUUAAAAAUUGGUCAAAAUUUGGAUGUUUUCAUUAUUUUUCUUAUUUUCAAGUAGUUAUGAUUGGGUUUGCAGAUAGGUGCAUUGUGCAAGGCUAUUUUCAAAACCUCAUGGAUGCCGUUAGCACCUACAUGCUUCAUGAAUACUGGACAGACCACUGCUGUAUGUAAGGUUAUCUUGAGAUAGUACUUGUAUCUUAAAUACUAAGGCAAGACCCUUAAACUUACAACUUAAACUUACUUAAAUUUAUAUUCAAUGAAACCUGUCAAAUGGAACACCCCUGUAUGUUAAUACGUUUAUAAUGUUAUCAACCCUUUUAAGUGGAACACCUCCUAAGUGGAACACUUUUAGUGGAGCCAAUGGUGUUCCACUUACAC
rnacentral:misc_RNA from 1 species